UACGUAGGGUGCAAGCGUUAAUCGGAAUUACUGGGCGUAAAGCGAGCGCAGGCGGUUAUGUAAGACAGAUGUGAAAUCCCAGGGCUUAACCUUGGAACUGCAUUUGUGACUGCAUGGCUAGAGUGUGUCAGAGGGGGGUGGAACUCCACGUGUAGCAGUGAAAUGCGUAGAGAUGUGGAAGAACACCGAUGGCGAAGGCAGCCCCCUGGGAGAACACUGACGCGCAUGCUCGAAAGCGUGGGGAGCAAACAGG
rnacentral:rRNA from 1 species